rnacentral:rRNA from 1 species
GACGAACGCUGGCGGCGUGCCUAACACAUGCAAGUCGAGCGAGAGACUUCGGUCUCUAGCGGCGGACGGGUGAGUAACACGUGGGUAACCUGCCUCAUAGUGGGGGAUAGCCUUCCGAAAGGAAGAUUAAUACCACAUAUACUCUCGAUACCACAUGGUAUUUAGAGGAAAGGAGCAAUCCGCUGUGGGAUGGACCCGCGGCGCAUUAGCUAGGUGGUGAGGUAACGGCUCACCAAGGCGACGAUGCGUAGCCGACCUGAGAGGGUGAGCGGCCACAGUGGAACUGAGACACGGUCCAGACUCGUACGGGAGGCAGCAGUGGGGAAUAUUGCACAAUGGGCGAAAGCCUGAUGCAGCAACGCCGCGUGAGUGAUGACGGCCUUCGGGUUGUAAAGCUCUGUCUUUUGGGACAAUAAUGACGGUACCAAAGGAGGAAGCCACGGCUAACUACGUGCCAGCCGCCGCUGUAAUAC